rnacentral:rRNA from 1 species
CUGAGCACACGCCGCGUGUAUGAUGAAGGCCUUCGGAUUGUAAAGUUCUGUCUUCGGGGACGAUAAUGACGGUACCAAAUGAGGAAGCCACGGCAUAACUACCUGCCGACAACCGCCCUAAUACCUACGUGGCAACCGUCGUCCUGAUUUACUGGGCGUAAACGAUGCCUAGGCUGACAUUUAAUUCAGAUGUGAAAUACCCAAACUUAACUUGGGUGCUGCAUUUCAAACUGCGUGUCUAAAAUGCCAGAGAAGACAGUGGAAUUCCUAGAGUAGCGAUGAAAUGCGUAUACAUUAUGAAGAACACCAAUGCGCGAAAGCGACUUACUGCACUGUAACUGACGCUGACGCUUGAAAACGUGGGGAGCACACAGAUUAGAUACCCUGGUGAUCCACGCCGAUAACAAUCACUGCUAGGCGUCGCGGUGUCCAACCACUGCGCCGCAGUUACACAAUCAAUAUCCUCCCUGCCGAGUACGAUCGCUAGAUU